GAGCGUAGCAAUUUGUCGCGGCAGAGGGGUGAGUAAGGCGUGGGAACGUACCUUUUGGUUCCGAACAACUGAGGGAAACUUAACCUAAUACCGGAUGGCCCUUACGGGGAAAGAUUUAUCGCCGAAAGAUCGGCCCGCGUCUGAUUAGCUAGUUGGUGAGGUAAUGGCUCACCAAGGCGACGAUCAGUAGCUGGUCUGAGAGGAUGAUCACCCACAUUGGGACUGAAACACGGCCCAAACUCCUACGGGAGGCAACAGUGGGGAAUAUCGGACAAUGGGCGCAAGCCUGAUCCAGGCAUGCCGCGUGAGUGAUGAAGGCCCUAGGGUUGUAAAGCUCUUUUGGGCGGGAAGAUAAUGACAGUACCGCAUGAAUAAGCCCCGGCUAACUUCGUGCCUGCCGCCGCGGUAAUACGAAGGGGGCUAGCGUUGCUCGGAAUCACUGGGCGUAAAGGGUGCGUAGGCGGGUCUUUAAGUCAGGGGUGAAAUCCUGGAGCUCAACUCCAGAGCUGCCUUUGAUACUGAAGAUCUUGAGUUCAGGAGAGGUGAGUGGACCUGCGAGUGUACAGGUGAAAUUCGUAGAUAUUCGCAAGAACACCUGUGGCGAAGGCGGCUCACUGGCCCGAUACUGACGCUGAGGCACGAAAGCGUGGGGAGCAAACGGGAUUAGAUACCCCUGGUAGUCCACUCCAUACACGAUGAAUGCGAGACGUUAGUGGAUUCACUCACUAGUGGCGCAGCUCACGCUCUAAGCAUUACGCCUGGAGUGCACUGGUCGCAUAGAGUUAUACUCACAUGACUUGGACGUGCGCACGCACAAGACGGAUGCAGCCAUGAUGGAUUUACUCUCCGACCGCGGAC
rnacentral:rRNA from 1 species